CAUAAAUGUGAAAGGCUGCCAAAUUCGAUAAUAUUGGAAUGCUUCGCCUAUAAAAGAAGUGAGAUCUAAAUAAGUACCAAGUUCCAUACACAGACCUCAGUUAAAAAUGAUAUAACAAGUUGGCAAGUUUUCACACACUUUGUUAUAAACCUACUAAACGCAAUGAGUCAAGUAUAUAAUUUUCUAUUAAAACUUGCCAAGUUAUAUCAUUUUUAACUGAGGUUUGUGUAUGGAACUUGGUACUUAUUUAGAUCUCACUUCUUUUAUAGGCGAAGCAUUCCAAUAUUAUCGAACUUGGCAGCCUUUCACAUUUAUGUUUUGGGUGGGAUUUCAUUUAUUUUUGUUAAGUUUUAUUUUUAUUUUUUCUUAUUUUACUUUACUUUGACUAAAUACAAAACUUCGUAACGAAUUUUAGGUCGGUACGACCAUUGGAAGAUAUAGAUAAUUUUUUUGUUUUAGUUCCUUAGGGGUAUGAAUUUACACCUUCAUUAUUUUUAAAACCGACUCACACUUGGCCAUUUUCAGAUUUUUUCCUUUACCUUGACCUAAAGACCUACCUCCAUGCCAAAUUUCAAGUCAAUACGACCAUUGGAAGUGGUCUAGGUUUUUGAUGAGUGAGUGAGUGAGUCAGUCAGUGAGUGUAUAGUAAAAAUAGCGAUUUUCUGACGUCAAUAU